rnacentral:rRNA from 1 species
UACGUAGGGGGCAAGCGUUGUCCGGAAUCAUUGGGCGUAAAGCGCCCGUAGGCGGCCUGACAAGUUGGACGUGAAAGCUCCUGGCUUAACUGGGAGAGGCCGUUCAAAACUGUCAAGCUAGAGUCUGGAAGAGGAGAGCGGAAUUCCCGGUGUAGUGGUGGAAUGCGUAGAGAUCGGGAGGAACACCAGUGGCGAAAGCGGCUCUCUGGUCCAAAACUGACGCUGAGGGGCGAAAGCGUGGGGAGCGAACGGG